rnacentral:rRNA from 1 species
GAUGAACGCUGGCGGCGUGCCUAAUACAUGCAAGUCGAGCGAACAGACGAGGAGCUUGCUCCUCUGACGUUAGCGGCGGACGGGUGAGUAACACGUGGAUAACCUACCUAUAAGACUGGGAUAACUUCGGGAAACCGGAGCUAAUACCGGAUAAUAUAUUGAACCGCAUGGUUCAAUAGUGAAAGACGGUUUUGCUGUCACUUAUAGAUGGAUCCGCGCCGCAUUAGCUAGUUGGUAAGGUAACGGCUUACCAAGGCAACGAUGCGUAGCCGACCUGAGAGGGUGAUCGGCCACACUGGAACGGAGACACGGUCCAGACUCCUACGGGAGGCAGCAGUAGGGAAUCGUCCGCAAUGGGCUGAAGCAGGACGGGGCAAAGCCGCGUGAGUGAUGAAGGUCCUCGGAUCGUAAAACUCUGUUAUUAGGGAAGAACAAAUGUGUAAGUAACUAUGCACGUCUUGACGGUACCUAAUCAGAAAGCCACGGCUAACUACGUG